GCCCCCUUCGUCUAGAGGCCUAGGACACCGCCCUUUCACGGCGGUAACAGGGGUUCGAAUCCCCUAGGGGACGCCA
rnacentral:tRNA from 1 species